CGGGCGGGCCCUACCAUGCAGUCGAGCGGAUGAGGGAGCUUGCUCCUGGAUUCAGCGGCGGACGGGUGAGUAAUGCCUAGGAAUCUGCCUGGUAGUGGGGGAUAACGUCCGGAAACGGGCGCUAAUACCGCAUACGUCCUGAGGGAGAAAGUGGGGGAUCUUCGGACCUCACGCUAUCAGAUGAGCCUAGGUCGGAUUAGCUAGUUGGUGGGGUAAAGGCCUACCAAGGCGACGAUCCGUAACUGGUCUGAGAGGAUGAUCAGUCACACUGGAACUGAGACACGGUCCAGACUCCUACGGGAGGCAGCAGUGGGGAAUAUUGGACAAUGGGCGAAAGCCUGAUCCAGCCAUGCCGCGUGUGUGAAGAAGGUCUUCGGAUUGUAAAGCACUUUAAGUUGGGAGGAAGGGCAGUAAGUUAAUACCUUGCUGUUUUGACGUUACCAACAGAAUAAGCACCGGCUAACUUCGUGCCAGCAGCCGCGGUAAAUACGAAGGGUGCAAGCGUUAAUCGGAAUUACUGGGCGUAAAGCGCGCGUAGGUGGUUCAGCAAGUUGGGAUGUGAAAUUCCCCGGGCUCAACCUGGGAACUGCAUCCAAAACUACUGAAGCUAGAGUACGUAAAGGGUGGUGAAAUUUCCUUGUGUAGCGGUGAAAUGCGUAGAUAUAGAAGGACCACCAGUGGCGAAGGCGACCACCUGGACUGAUACUGACACUGAGUGCGCAAAGCGUGGGAACCAACAGGAAUAAGUACCCUGUAAUUCCACGCCGUAACCAAUGUCACUAACCGUUGGAUCCUUGAAAUCUUAGGG
rnacentral:rRNA from 1 species